AUUGAACGCUGGCGGCAGGCCUAGCACAUGCAAGUCGAGCGGAUGAAGGGAGCUUGCUCCUGGAUUCAGCGGCGGACGGGUGAGUAAUGCCUAGGAAUCUGCCUGGUAGUGGGGGAUAACGUCCGGAAACGGGCGCUAAUACCGCAUACGUCCUGAGGGAGAAAGUGGGGGAUCUUCGGACCUCACGCUAUCAGAUGAGCCUAGGUCGGAUUAGCUAGUUGGUGGGGUAAAGGCCUACCAAGGCGACGAUCCGUAACUGGUCUGAGAGGAUGAUCAGUCACACUGGAACUGAGACACGGUCCAGACUCCUACGGGAGGCAGCAGUGGGGAAUAUUGGACAAUGGGCGAAAGCCUGAUCCAGCCAUGCCGCGUGUGUGAAGAAGGUCUUCGGAUUGUAAAGAACUUUAAGUUGGGAGGAAGGGCAGUAAGUUAAUACCUUGCUGUUUUGACGUUACCAACAGAAUAAGCACCGGCUAACUUCGUG
rnacentral:rRNA from 1 species